UUUUGCUGAUUCUCAUGAUACAGCUGAAUGAGCUUCUUUUCGUGCUCAAGAAGGUGGGUAAUUUCAUCAGGAAUCCCCCUCAACAUCAUCUUCCUCUGCUUCGAAUACAAGGAAUUCAAGAUUGGGAGAUGGUGUUUGAUCAUUAUGUUCAAUGGGUUUAGAAGUCCCUGCAUAAUGAUUCUGGAUAACGAAAAGCUUUUGUAUUUAAACAAGCAAAUCAUUUAUGCAG
rnacentral:lncRNA from 1 species